UUGCUUAUAUUUUAAUGAAGAAUGUCACAUUCACAACGUGUAAGUUGCCGUAACGGAUUAAAGUUGGUCUACUCUCAACUUUUGACAUGCGGCAAGUCCGGCACAGAAAUCAGCUGUUAUUUGUGAAUAUUUUAUGUUAGGUUUUUGAAAUGGAAUUUUUAUUAAUAGAAGCGGUGCAGAUUCACCCUUGUCUUUUUGACAAAAAAAAAAAAAAACAGUGCUAUAUCGCAACAAAAUUGCUAAGGAAAAAGCUUGGAGAGCUGUGGCAGCUUCCACAAACGCGACUAUCGAACAAUGCCAAAGUCGCUGGAGGUCCCUUCGGGACAGAUAUGUAAAGGAGGUUAACGGAAGUAAGCUUCCGUCGGGAAGUGGUGCAAAAGAAGGUAGUGGUUGGCGGUAUAUGAAUGCGAUGUCUUUUUUGCAACGACAUGUCGUUCCUCGCAGAACUUCUUCAAAUAUGCAAUGGUCGAGUGAAGAUUCAUUUUUAAGUACGCAGUUCGAGAGUGGCGACAUAUAUGGAAGUUCGCAGUUGUCGGGGGAAGACGAAACAAUUGAAAAUGUAGAUUUUUUUUGCAGCGAGCUGCCACGUCCUUUUGAUCAAUCCACACCACAAGUGGAAAAGCGUUGCGAUAAAAGAAAGAGACAAGAAGACAGGUUUGAUCACCUUUGUGACUCUGUGUCUGACUGGAUAAAAAAAAACAGGUAUCACAGAGUCAAAGUCCCCCACCAGUGUCUCGUAUUGCCGAUUUUUUAAGAGUACUAGACGAGUAUUUGCUGAAGCACUCAAAGGACGAGCAAUAUAGAAUUAAAAUCAAAUUGCUCAACAUUGUCUCAAAUUUUAAACAAUGAAUGAAUUUUAAACAAUGUUCUU